rnacentral:misc_RNA from 1 species
GAACGCAUAUUGCGCUCUCUGGUAUUCCGGAGAGCAUGCUUGUUUGAGUAUCAGUAAACACCUCAACUUCCAUAUCUUUUUUGAAAUGGGAGUUGGACUUGAGUGAUCCCAACGCUUUUCCUCACCGAAAAGUGGCGGGUUACUUGAAAUGCAGGGGCAGCUGGACUUUUCUCUGAGCUAUAAGCAUAUCUAUUUAGUCUGCCUAAAAAACAGAUUAUUACCUUUGCUGCAGCUAACAUAAAGGAGAUUAGUGCUUGUGCUGACUGAUGCAGGAUUCACAAAGACAGCUUCGGCCGACUUUGUAAACUCGAUCUCAAAUCAAGUAAGACUACCCGCUGAACUUAAG